rnacentral:misc_RNA from 1 species
GAUGAAGAACGUAGCGAAAUGCGAUAAGUAAUGUGAAUUGCAGAAUUCAGUGAAUCAUCGAAUCUUUGAACGCACAUUGCGCCCCUUGGUUAUGCCAGGGGGCAUGCCUGUUCGAGCGUCGUUAUCACCCCUCAAGCCCCGGCUUGGUGUUGGAUCUAGGGGAUUGUAAUCAAUCGCCGGUCUUAAAGUUAGUGACGAUACCCCAGAGGGAACCCGAUACGAGGAGCUUAUCGCUAAGCAUGUAUUGGGCACGACUUUGAGGUGACGGUCCUUCACAUAACUUACACAGUCUUUAGUGUUGACCUCGAAUCAGGUAGGAAUACCCGCUGAACUUAAGCAUAUCAAUAAGCGGAGGA